rnacentral:rRNA from 1 species
UACGUAGGGUGCAAGCGUUGUCCGGAAUUAUUGGGCGUAAAGAGCUCGUAGGUGGUUUGUCGCGUUGGUCGUGAAAACCGGGGGCUUAACCCUCGGCGUGCGGGCGAUACGGGCAGACUGGAGUACUGCAGGGGAGACUGGAAUUCCUGGUGUAGCGGUGGAAUGCGCAGAUAUCAGGAGGAACACCGGUGGCGAAGGCGGGUCUCUGGGCAGUAACUGACGCUGAGGAGCGAAAGCGUGGGGAGCGAACAGG